rnacentral:rRNA from 1 species
UAAUAGCGCCACCGAUUGACCGUUACCCGCAGAAGAAGCACCGGCUAACUCCGUGCCAGCAGCCGCGGUAAUACGGAGGGUGCGAGCGUUAAUCGGAAUUACUGGGCGUAAAGCGUACGCAGGCGGUCUGUUAAGUCAGAUGUGAAAUCCCCGGGCUCAACCUGGGAACUGCAUUUGAAACUGGCAGGCUAGAGUCUCGUAGAGGGGGGUAGAAUUCCAGGUGUAGCGGUGAAAUGCGUAGAGAUCUGGAGGAAUACCGGUGGCGAAGGCGGCCCCCUGGACGAAGACUGACGCUCAGGUACGAAAGCGUGGGGAGCAAACAGGAUUAGAUACCCUGGUAGUCCACGCUGUAAACGAUGUCGAUUUGAAGGUUGUGGCCUUGAGCCGUGGCUUUCGGAGCUAACGCGUUAAAUCGACCGCCUGGGGAGUACGGCCGCAAGGUUAAAACUCAAAUGAAUUGACGGGGGCCCGCACAAGCGGUGGAGCAUGUGGUUUAAUUCGAUGCAACGCGAAGAACCUUACCUACUCUUGACAUCCAGAGGAAUUAGCAGACAUGCCUUGGUGCCUUCGG